GCCCAGACUCCUACGGGAGGCAGCAGUGGGGAAUAUUGCACAAUGGGCGCAAGCCUGAUGCAGCGACGCCGCGUGGGGGAUGACGGCCUUCGGGUUGUAAACCUCUUUCGCUAGGGACGAAGCUUUUGUGACGGUACCUAGAUAAGAAGCACCGGCUAACUACGUGCCAGCAGCCGCGGUAAUACGUAGGGUGCGAGCGUUGUCCGGAAUUACUGGGCGUAAAGAGCUCGUAGGUGGUUUGUCGCGUCGU
rnacentral:rRNA from 1 species